GAUUAACGCUAGCGGCAGGCCUAAUACAUGCAAGUCGAACGGCAGCACGGGUAGCAAUACCUGGUGGCGAGUGGCGCACGGGUGCGUAACGCGUAUGCAACCUACCUAUAACUGGGGAAUAGCCUUCUGAAAGGAAGAUUAACACCGCAUAAUAUCACGAGACGGCAUCGCCUUGUGAUCAAAUCUCCGGAGGUUAUAGAUGGGCAUGCGUGACAUUAGCUAGUUGGUGAGGUAACGGCUCACCAAGGCUACGAUGUCUAGGGGGGUCUGAGAGGAUGAUCCCCCACACUGGUACUGAGACACGGACCAGACUCCUACGGGAGGCAGCAGUAAGGAAUAUUGGACAAUGGGCGCAAGCCUGAUCCAGCCAUGCCGCGUGAAGGAUGACGGCCCUCUGGGUUGUAAACUUCUUUUAUACGGGAAUAAACCCCUCGAUUCUUCGUGGGCUGAAUGUACUGUAAGAAUAAGGAUCGGCUAACUUCGUGCCAGCAGCCGCGGUAACAC
rnacentral:rRNA from 1 species